rnacentral:rRNA from 1 species
CCUACGGGUGGCAGCAGUGAGGAAUAUUGGUCAAUGGCCGGAAGGCUGAACCAGCCAUGCCGCGUGAAGGUCAGUUCCCUAUGGGCGUUAAACUUCUUUUGUUCGGGAGCAAUAGUGGUCACGUGUGGCCAGACGAGAGUAACGUACGAAUAAGCAUCGGCUAACUCCGUGCCAGCAGCCGCGGUAAUACGGGGGAUGCAAGCGUUAUCCGGAUUUAUUGGGGUUAAAGGGUGCGUAGGCUGGGAGGUAAGUCAGAGGUGAAAUGCCAGCGCUCAACGGGGUGAAGUGCCAUUGAUACUGGCUUGCUGGAAUGCGGAUGCAGUGGGACGAAUGUGGGGUGGAGCGGUGAAAUGCAUAGAUAUCAAACAGAACACCGGUUGCGAAGGCAUCUCACGAAUCCGCGAUUGACGAUGAUGCACGAAAGCGUGGGUAUCAAACAGGAUUAGAUACCCCUGGUAGUC